rnacentral:rRNA from 1 species
GACGAGGCACUACGGUGCUGAAGCAACAAAUGCCCUGCUUCCAGGAAAAGCCUCUAAGCAUCAGGUAACAUCAAAUCGUACCCCAAACCGACACAGGUGGUCAGGUAGAGAAUACCAAGGCGCUUGAGAGAACUCGGGUGAAGGAACUAGGCAAAAUGGUGCCGUAACUUCGGGAGAAGGCACGCUGACACGUAGGUGAAGUGAUUUACUCACGGAGCUGAAGUCAGUCGAAGAUACCAGCUGGCUGCAACUGUUUAUUAAAAACACAGCACUGUGCAAACACGAAAGUGGACGUAUACGGUGUGACGCCUGCCCGGUGCCGGAAGGUUAAUUGAUGGGGUCAGCGCAAGCGAAGCUCCUGAUCGAAGCCCCGGUAAACGGCGGCCGUAACUAUAACGGUCCUAAGGUAGCGAAAUUCCUUGUCGGGUAAGUUCCGACCUGCACGAAUGGCGUAAUGAUGGCCAGGCUGUCUCCACCCGAGACUCAGUGAAAUUGAACUCGCUGUGAAGAUGCAGUGUACCCGCGGCAAGACGGAAAGACCCCGUGAACCUUUACUAUAGCUUGACACUGAACAUUGAGCCUUGAUGUGUAGGAUAGGUGGGAGGCUUUGAAGUGUGGACGCCAGUCUGCAUGGAGCCGACCUUGAAAUACCACCCUUUAAUGUUUGAUGUUCUAACGUGGACUCGUAAUCCGGGUUGCGGACAGUGUCUGGUGGGUAGUUUGACUGGGGCGGUCUCCUCCUAAAGAGUAACGGAGGAGCACGAAGGUUGGCUAAUCCUGGUCGGACAUCAGGAGGUUAGUGCAAUGGCAUAAGCCAGCUUGACUGCGAGCGUGACGGCGCGAGCAGGUGCGAAAGCAGGUCAUAGUGAUCCGGUGGUUCUGAAUGGAAGGGCCAUCGCUCAACGGAUAAAAGGUACUCCGGGGAUAACAGGCUGAUACCGCCCAAGAGUUCAUAUCGACGGCGGUGUUUGGCACCUCGAUGUCGGCUCAUCACAUCCUGGGGCUGAAGUAGGUCCCAAGGGUAUGGCUGUUCGCCAUUUAAAGUGGUACGCGAGCUGGGUUUAGAACGUCGUGAGACAGUUCGGUCCCUAUCUGCCGUGGGCGCUGGAGAACUGAGGGGGGCUGCUCCUAGUACGAGAGGACCGGAGUGGACGCAUCACUGGUGUUCGGGUUGUCAUGCCAAUGGCACUGCCCGGUAGCUAAAUGCGGAAGAGAUAAGUGCUGAAAGCAUCUAAGCACGAAACUUGCCCCGAGAUGAGUUCUCCCUGAGACUUAGAGUCUCCUGAAGGAACGUUGAAGACGACGACGUUGAUAGGCCGGGUGUGUAAGCGCAGCGAUGCGUUGAGCUAACCGGUACUAAUGAACCGUGAGGCUUAACCUUACA